rnacentral:tRNA from 1 species
CUGAAUAGGAGGGCCUCGAUCCCACAAAAACUAGUUAACAGCUAAUUACCCAACCCAGCGGGCUUCUAUUCG